rnacentral:rRNA from 1 species
UACGGAGGAUGCAAGCGUUAUCCGGAAUUAUUGGGCGUAAAGCGUCCGCAGGCGGUUUUACAAGUCUGCUGUCAAAGCGUGGAGCUUAACUCCAUAAAGGCAGUGGAAACUGUGAGACUAGAGUUCGGUAGGGGUUACGGGAAUUCCCAGUGUAGCGGUGAAAUGCGUAGAUAUUGGGAAGAACACCAGCGGCGAAAGCGGCGACCUGGACAGGUACUGACACUCAACUACGAAAGCGUGGGGAGCAAACAGG